AGAUUUUCAGCCUGAUACAGAUUAAAUCGACAGGUCAUAACGUGACGUGUUGAUAAAACAGAAUUUGCCUGGCGGCCUUAGCGCGGUGGUCCCA
rnacentral:rRNA from 1 species